GCAGUUUGGCUAUGAUGUGGAAAAUUCUGAAAGAGAUGGGAAUACCAGACCACCUGACUUGCCUCUUGAGAAACCUGUAUGCAGGUCAGGAAGCAACAGUUAGAACUGGACAUGGAACAACAGACUGGUUCCAAAUACGAAAAGGAGUAUGUCAAAGCUGUAUAUUGUCACUCUGCUUAUUUAACUUAUAUGCAGAGUACAUCAUGAGAAACACUGGGCUGGAAGAAGCACAAGCUGGAAUCAAGAUUGCCAGGAGAAAUAUCAAUAACCUCAGAUAUGCACAUGACACCACCCAUAUAGCAGAAAGUAAAGAAGAACUAAAGAGCCUCUUGAUGAAAGUGAAAGAAGAGAGUAAAAAAGUUGGCUUAAAGCUCAACAUUCAGAAAACUAAGAUCAUGGCAUCCGGUCCCAUCACUUGAUGGCAAGUGGAUGGGGAAACAGUGGAAACAGUGGCUGACUUUAUUUUGGGGGGCUCCAAAAUCACUGCAGAUGGUGACUGCAGCCAUGAAAUUAAAAGACGCUUACACCUUGCAAGGAAAGUUAUGACCAACCUAGACAGCAUAUUAAAAAGCAGAGACAUUACUUUGUCAACAAAGGUCCAUCUAGUCAAGGCUAUGGUUUUUCCAGUAGUCAUGUAUGGAUGUGAGAGUUGGACUAUAAAGAAAGCUGAGUGCCAAAGAAUUGAUGCUUUUGAACUGUGGCGUUGGAGAAGACUCUCGAGAGUCCCUUGAACUGCAAGGAGAUCCAACCAGUCCAUCCUAAAGGAGAUCAGUCCUGGGUGUUCAUUGGAAGGACUGAUGUUGAAGCUGCAACUCCAAUACUUUGGCCACCUGAUGCAAAGAGCUGACUCAUUCGAAAAGACCCUGAUGUUGGGAAAGAUUGAAGGCAGGAGGAGAAGGGGACGACAGAGGAUGAGAUGGUUGGAUGGCAUCACUGACUCAAUGGACAGGAGUUUGGGUAAAUUCCGGGAGUUGGUGAUGGACAGGGAGGCCUGGUGUGCUGCGGUUCAUGGGGUCACAAAGAGUCGGACAUGACUGAGCGACUGAACUGAUGAUGGGCCUACGUAUAAUUUGAAAAAACCCUGAUGCUGGGAAAGAUUGAGGGCAGGAAGAGAAGGGGGCGACAGAGAAUGAGAUGGUUGGAUAGCAUCACCAACUUGAUGGACAUGAGUUUGAGCAAACUCCGGGAGAUAGUGAAGGACAGGGAAGCCUGGCGUGCUGCAGUCCAUGGAGUUGCAAAGAGUUGGACACGACUGAACAACAAAAGCCACUCCACUUGGCAUGUGGGAUCAUAGUUCCCCAACCAGAGACUGAACCCACACUCCCUACAUUUGAAGCGUGGAGUCUUGACCACUGGACUGCCAGGGAAGUCCCUUUGGUGAUUUUUUUUUUUUUUUUUCCUGUUCUUCUGAAAGAUGUUAAAUUUAUUAUGACUGGAAAUUUUUCAUUUCUUCUUGGAGGUAGAAGGACUUCGGGGGAUCAUUUAGAUGAGAUAAGAAAACUGAAUUUGUCUCUUAACAUUUUCAAGUUAUUUACUUCUCCAAGCCUCAGUUUCUUCAUCUCUCAGUUUUACACUCCAGAGAAUAUUUAUCACAUAAGAGAGUUUUUACCAGAAAUAAGAACUGGUUGAAGACAAUCUCCCUUGUCUGUUCUUGGAUGGUUUGCCUUUAUUUCCUUCCCUUGUUACUGAAGAACACUUUCUCUCCUUCAACUCUUCCCUUCCUUCAUUUUCUGCCCUUUUUUCUGGUCUUUCUUUACCUUUUAAAAAAUACCUUUACCAGUUUGUUAUAAAGGAGACUUAAAAGAUACAGCAGCCAGAUAAGGACGUACGUUGGGCAAGGUCCGGAAGGGUCCCCUGUAUAGGAGCUUCUGUCUCCAAGGAACUGGGUGCUGCACCCUCCUUGCUUGUGGAUGGGUCCAUGAACCCAGGAACUUUCUGCCUUCUGUGGAAUGGAUACACAGUUGGCUCUCUGUAUCUGCAGGUGCGAACCCCAGGACACCAGACACUGUAUUCAGUGUAUUAAGGGGCUGCUUUAUACAAGAGACUUGUGCAUCCACAGACCCUGAAACCAAUCUCCUAUGGACGCAGAGGGGCUGAUUGAGAAACUGUGGGUAACCACUGGCUUAAUCCAUUUCACCUGUAACCUGCCUUCGCUAAUCAAGAUCGUUUCAAUUGUUGCUGCGAAAAGCCUGCUUGUCCUCUAAGCAGCAUGGAGUCUAAAUAACAAGAUGUUCUCCAGGAACCCGGAUCAGCUGUGUCUAGCUGGAGCUGAGCUGGUUAAGACCGGGAAGGACUACCCACCCUCCACCUGGGCUUGUGUGAGUGUCACUGAGUGACCUUUUGACAGUUAGAGGGCUGACAACUCCACCCUCAGACCUUGCUAAGUGCUUCUUUUUUUGAACUUGCAGAGGCUGUGGCUGAGCUGCGCCUGUGCAGAGCAAAGAGGUCGCACCUCUUUCUCAUCACCUUUCCCCGAGAGCCCCACGUACCCACGCCUGGGGAUGCCAGCUCAUCCCAUAAAUACCUCAACCCCUUCCUUACGGGAGGUGCAUCUGAGUCUUUCUCCUCUCAUUUCUACCUUAGGCUGCCUUGCACAUAAACCUCAUCUCUGCUGCAGAGCUUGGGGUCUCAGCAUUUGGCUCGCUGGGCGUUGGGGAAAAGAAACCUAGUUAGGUAACAACUUUACAACUGAAGCUGUCGCCUGGUGCAGAAGGAAAAGCGUUGAGCUGUACUUUAGAAGAACUAAGAAUGAUACUAGGCCAGUAUGACACCGACUUCUCCGUGAUGGUUUUCUCACCAGUAAAGCUAAAAGGACUCUGCUGAAAGUUUCCUCUGAAAUGUCAUCCCUGCAGCAGCCUACAGAGUAUAGGUAUCGUCCUCUGCCUUUGACAGACAAGAAAACUGGGGCUGGAUGAGCUUCUCCAAGGCCGUGGAGCUGGGCCCUGACAGCACUGGGAUUUGAGUUCUGGGCUGAAUGAUCUCCCGGACAAGACAGCUCUUUGCCAGUAUUGAACUCUGCUCCACCUGCUGCUUCAAUCUUAUUGACACUUAGUCAUAAACUCGACAGGAAAGUAUGGGUUAUACACACACAGUACAUGAGCCGACCCUGAAUAGCCUCUGAGCAGACCCUUGAUGUAGUACAAAGCUAUGGUGUGUACCCAGUUCAGCCAUGUAUCCUGGGCCUGGCUAUGAACUUGCUCAAGACACGCGAUUCUGCACCUCAGUGUCUUCAUGUGUAAACGGAGGCAGAUUUCAGGCGGAUUCCUCCACAAAGCACUUAGUAACAUUCUGGAUACAUGGACAAGUUUGCUUUCCACCUUGUGCCUUCAUGCCUUUUCUGUCAUCCUGUGAAUUCUCAGUGCAUCAGCUCUGGAUGACUGGGGUGUGUCGUUCUUUUUGUGUAACCUCAAAUUCCAAAUCUUCCUGCUUCCUGUGUUCAGUCAUCUUAAAAUAAAAUUUGUCUAAAAGCACUACAGCCCCCAUCUUAUCCUCUGGGUGGAGUUUAGUAUCCACACAAUCCCCCAUAUUUCUGAGAGUUUCUGGGGACUGGUUAGCAUUCUCAUUCACCAUCUUUUAGUCUGAAUUGGAGAACUUUUUAAAAAUAUCUUUUAUUUCGCUGUACCGGGUCUUGGUUGCAGCAUGUAAACUCUUAGUUGUAGCAUGUGGGAUCUAAUUCCCUGACCAGGGAUUGAACCCAGGUCCCCAGCAUUGGGAGCAUGGAGUCUUAGCCACUGAACCACCAGGGGAGUCCCUAAAUUAGAGAUUUUACCCUGCUGCCGCCUCGAGUCUUGUGGGAAAUAUCCUCUUUCCAUCCAAGUGACCCCAGGCCCUUUUGACUUCAAUUCCCUCUGUAGCUAAUCUAACUGGAAAACAAGCAACUGCAGCAACUUUUUAGCAAAGAAAUGAGAAUAGUGAGAGAUUAUUAAAGAAGAGGGGAGAAAUAGCUUCAGCUGUCAUUCAUCCACUCAACUAAUAUUGACUGAGUGCCUUCUAUAGACUAGAUAUUUCUAGAUAUUUCUGGGUCUGGAAAUAUCAAAAGGAAUAAAACAGACAAGAACAAAGAAAUCCCAUACCCUCUUAGUUGGGAGAUGGGAAGAAGAAAUUUUACUCAUGCAUUUUGUUGAUUGUCUCUUUUAGGUUAGAUGGUGAGAAGAGGUGGCGAGAGGGGUGCCUGUAGGUAGGGUGGUCAUGGGAGUAUGUGAUUUUAAACAGGGUGAUAGGAAAGGACCCACUUAGGAGGAGACCUGGGAGAACAGAGUAACUGGUGUUGUGGGAGUCUUUGGGAAGAUUUCAGCUCAGACAAAGAUGCUCAGUCACUGCAGAGGCUCUAUGAGUGCUGGGUCUAGAGCAUGAAGUGUCAAGUAUCAUGAUGAACUUCUGGAUUUUAUGCAUUUGAUGCAUUUCAAUCCAUUGCAGUUGAUGCUCAGGUUGUCCCAUUUGUGGCCAGGGAGAGGAGGAUGAGCAAGAUGGGGAGCUGCAGAAAGUCAGUGCAGUGAAACUGGUCCCAGACUUCUGUGGCUGAAAGAUGUAUUCAGAAUCCUGCUGGAUCUAAAUGCUGCAUGGAUUUGUGUAUAUUGUGUGUAUGUAUGCUUUUGACAGUCACUCUGUCUUCUUGCACCCCAUAUCCUGAAUUUAUGAAGGCUUUUGGAUUGUGUGUGUAUGUGCAUGUGUCUGUAUAGAAAUGGAAAGAGGGACUGAGUUUGAGGCCAAUUCAACAUGAUACAGAAUAUUACUAAACAUCGUGUAGCAGGAUUCCAAAGACCUAAAAAGACCACAGAAUUUAAGUUCCAACCUGAGAAUUAAUAGAAAUCCAGUUACUUUGGACUUUCACAGGUAGGGGUUGGAAUGGAGAGGGGGGAAAAACAGAAAGGAUAGCUCAAAAUAAUUGAAUUUCUGGGGCCGUGGAAAGCCCAUGCAAUCUCUGAUAUUUACAUACACAUAUAUCCAUGUGACCAACAAGUUUGAGAGCUCUUUUAAGAGCAGGGAGGAUGACUCUGGAAGUCAAUGAGAUCUGCAAAUUACCAUUUGCAGAAAAAUCUGCAUCGACUUCUGGGUGAGGGAGGAGGAGUGGCAGCGAUUUGAUGAGGGGUAGAGCAGUUUGCUUUGGAACCAAGUAUGGGGUGUUUGCUCUGACAGAGAACUUUUUCUUUUGUUCUGAUUUGUAUAUCCAUCGAUACUAACAUCUAGAGACAAAAACUCUCACAUCUAAAUUGUCCUGGAAAAUUCAGGAUCUGUGGUUUCACCCUUAAAGUUCAGAACUCAUUCUUAUAUAAAAUAGCCAGAGAAAAUCCCAAAUAUGACUUACAAGGGGUUCAUUGUAGUGUAGGUUGAUUAACAUAGUCUGUUUACAGACCAAAGUUUUAGGGUCGGGCUGUGCCACAAAUUGGCACUGUCUUUUUGCUGUGUAAGAUAUGAGCUGUCAGACUUGAAGCCCUGGUGGGAGAGUAGCUCUUUGUGCAUGCGUUUGUGCUGAGUCACUUCAGUCGUGUCUGACUCCUUGUGACCCGAUGGGCUGUAACCCACCAGACUCCUUUGUCCAUGGGAUUGUCCAGGCAAGACUUCUGGAGUGGGUUGCCAUUUCCUUCUCCAUGGGAUCAAACUCAGGGAUCAAACCCGAGUCUCCUACAUUGCAGGAGGAUUCUUUACUGCUGAGCCACCAGGGAAGCCCCAAAUAAUUGAGUGCACAGGACCAAUAUUCUCAAGAUUCUAGGAUUAUUCAAAAAUAGGAAAGUUUCUGCUAUAGACAAUAUCUGUGUUGGUCACAGAUUCUUAUGCUGAAGCCUAAUUCUCAGUGUAUGUGGAGGUGGAGUCUUUGGGGUGAUUAGAUUGUGAGGGUGGGGCCCUCAUGUAUGGGAUUAGUUUCCUUAUGAAAGAGACCCCAGAGAGCUCCCUUAGCUAUCUAUGAACUAGGGAGUGGACCCUCACCAAACACUGUAUCUACUGGUGCCUUGAUCUUCAACUUCCCAGCAUCCAGAAUUGUAAGAAAUAAAUGUUUGUUGCUUAAGCCACCCAGUCUAUGGUAUUUUUGUUAUAACAGCCCAAAUGGACUAAAACAGUGAUAGACAAGAAAACUGUCAUUUUAAACUGAUUCUUUAUAAUAUGUGAUUCUCUUUACCAGGUGACUGCAGAAUGGUCUCAGGUGCAUAGUAAUUGAUUCAUAUUUUAUUGCAAAGGGUAUUUUGGAAAAUAAGCUGAUACAAGCUAGUCACUUCAUAGAAAUACACUGUAUGAUGUUGCACAUUCUACCUUCUGGCUUCUAAUUCUCAGAGUGAGAGCCAGACUGACAGAGAUGUUUAACCUCAAUGGGAAACCUCACUCUUGAUGGACUUACUUAUGCCCCAGACAGGCUUCCCUUAGAUAAAAAUGGAGACAUUGUGCUCCACAAGCAAGUGGGUCAUAAGAUUCCUAGUAAUGAUUUAGGUAACAAUAGAGUUUUUGUCCUGUGUGUAGCACACUGGUUCUUAUUUGUCCUUGUCCUGGCAUAUGAGUUAAAGUACAUCUUCCACAGUGCAUCUGCAUUCUAGCCACACCUAUGUGCUUAGAUGAUGGACUCUUCAGACACCUCUACUUUGUCUUUCCUCUGUGCCUCUGUUCAACCCGUUCCUCUUGCUUAAGACAC